GAUGAACGCUGACAGAAUGCUUANCACAUGCAAGUCUUUGGCAAAACUGUGCUUGCACAGCCUAGCCAAGGCGGACGGGUGAGUAACGCGUAAGGAACUUGCCCUGCAGUCAGGGAUAACAGACGGAAACGACUGAUAAGACCUGGUAAAGUCAGGCGGACUCAUGUCCAGCCUGAUGAAAAGAAAUGCUGCAGGAGAGCCUUGCGUCCUAUUAGCUUGUUGGUGGGGUAACGGCCCACCAAGGCGAUGAUAGGUAGCCGGCCUGAGAGGGUGGACGGCCACAAGGGGACUGAGAUACGGCCCUUACUCCUACGGGAGGCAGCAGUGGGGAAUAUUGGACAAUGGGGGCAACCCUGAUCCAGCAAUUCUGUGUGCACGAUGAAGGUUUUCGGAUUGUAAAGUGCUUUCAGCAGGGAAGAAAAAAAUGACGGUACCUGCAGAAGAAGCGACGGCUAAAUACGUGCCAGCAGCCGCGGUAAUACGUAUGUCGCAAGCGUUAUCCGGAAUUAUUGGGCAUAAAGGGCAUCUAGGCGGCCAGAUAAGUCUGGGGUGAAAACUUGCGGCUCAACCGCAAGCCUGCCCUGGAAACUAUGUGGCUAGAGUACUGGAGAGGUGGACGGAACUGCACGAGUAGAGGUGAAAUUCGUAGAUAUGUGCAGGAAUGCCGAUGAUGAAGAUAGUUCACUGGACGGUAACUGACGCUGAAGUGCGAAAGCUAGGGGAGCAAACAGG
rnacentral:rRNA from 1 species